CAAAAGCGAGCGAGCGAGCGAGCGAGGGAGAGAAAAAAACCUCCAUGGAAGAGGUAAAAGCUGCAUCAGCGACGACUCACAUGCCGAAACCUCAAUCUUCAAACACGGCACAGAACCAGAACCUCCCUCCCCAAGUGCCUCCUGCUCAGAACAAGAAGAGAAAGUUAGAUCAUGUCGAUAUUCGUAAAACUUCGUAUUUCAAGAUCCGGGCCAUUGUCAAAGACCUUCGCCCCUCUUUCAUUGAGCUUGGAAGGUCUUAGCCUGUAAAGAACCUAAAUGUUCUUUGUUCUCUUGAAGGUUCUUCGGACUCCUGACUUCAGAAAUUGCAAGGCAGCUUAUGAAAUUCGAAAACAGUGUGAAUCUGUGCAUGCAUAGAGAGGGCAAGAGUCGGAAUCCUUGAGCAUGGUUUGGAGCACUAAAGAGAUGAAGCUCAUGAUGGAUUUAUAUAAACAGUUAAAGAUGGAAACAUUCUUUAUUGGGAAGUGUAAGAAUCAACCAGGUCACCCUUUACUAGGUGAAAACAGGCAGGAACAAAAACCCAUGGAGAGGCCCCAAGAAGAGAAGCAGGCAGAAGAACACUCUCUUCCAGAAAAAUUACCUAAAGAGAAGCCACUUUCUGGAGGGAACAACUCUGAGAGCAGAGGGGACAGUCAGAUCCAAGGGACAUAUAUUGUUGGUGGAUCAGUUUUUGGCUGGAAUUUUAUACUAUAUCCAAGCGGUAAACCAGUCUAUUAUGGGGCAACAAAGGAGUCGCGAAGAGCUGCAAAGUAGGUUCUUUAUUUUUCUAUAUGCUAUCCCAAUUUGACUUAGCUAAGUGAUUAGAGCAAUGGAAUUUUGAAAAUGAAUAAUACUA